rnacentral:rRNA from 1 species
UACAGGGGGUGCAAACGUUGCUCGGAAUCAUUGGGCGUAAAGCGCACGUAGGCGGUUCGUUAUGUCGGAUGUGAAAGCCCUUGGCUUAACCGAGGAAGUGCAUCCGAAACUGGCGAGCUAGAGUACGAAAGAGGAUCGCGGAAUUCCCGGUGUAGAGGUGAAAUUCGUAGAUAUCGGGAAGAACACCCGUGGCGAAGGCGGCUCUCUGGGACGGUACUGACGCUGAGACGCGAAAGCGUGGGGAGCGAACAGG